UCAAACUCGGAAAUAGCUCGUUCUCCCCGAAAUGCUUUUAGGAGCAGCGUUAUGUUAUAGAGUAGUAGAGGUAGAGCUACUGGUUGGAUGCGGGGGCUUCAUCGCCUACCAAAUCCUGUCAAACUCCGAAUGCUACUACUUGUUUCAUAGCAGUGAGGGCAUGGGUGCUAAGGUCCAUGUCCGAGAGGGAAAGAACCCAGACCAUCUGCUAAGGUCCCCAAAUGUAUACUAAGUUGAUCAAACGUGGUCAGACUGCUUAGACAGCUAGGAUGUUGGCUUGGAAGCAGCCAUUCAUUUAAAGAGUGCGUAACAGCUCACUAGUCGAGCGGUCCGGCGUGGAUAAUAAUCGGGCAUAAGUAUACUACCGAAGCAAUGGACAUGAAAAUGUGGUAGGGGAGCAUUCUAGUUGCGCCGAAGGUGAAUCGUGAGGUUUGCUGGAGCGGCUAGAAAAGAAAAUGUAGGAAUGAGUAACGAUAAAGCGGGUGAGAAACCCGCUCGCCGAAAAUCUAAGGUUUCCUCAGCUAUGCUAAUCAGCUGAGGGUUAGUCGCGACCUAAGGCGAACCCGAACGGGGUAGUCGAUGGACAACAGGUUAAUAUUCCUGUACUUGUUUAUACUGCGAUGGGGUGACGAUGUACUGAAAGCACCGCGCACUGACGGAAUAGUGCGUUGAAGACUGUAUCUAUAGGACCUGUAGGCAAAUCCGCAGGACCUGGAGAAGGUCGAUAGUACCGAGAGUCUUCGGACAAUCGGAUAGUGUGCCUAAAAACAUCCAAGAAAAACCUCUAAGCUUCAGGUAUAAACAACGCGUACCGUAAACCGACACAGGUAGAUGGGAUGAGAAUUCUAAGGCGCUCGAGUGAUUCAUGGCUAAGGAACUAGGCAAAAUAGUCCCGUAACUUCGGGAGAAGGGACGCCCCCUUAUGGGGGGCCGCAGUGAAAAGGCCCAGGCGACUGUUUAUCAAAAACACAGGACUCUGCUAAAUCGAAAGAUGAUGUAUAGGGUCUGACACCUGCCCGGUGCUGGAAGGUUAAGAGGAGAUGUUAGCUUCGGCGAAGCAUUGAAUUGAAGCCCCAGUAAACGGCGGCCGUAACUAUAACGGUCCUAAGGUAGCGAAAUUCCUUGUCGGGUAAGUUCCGACCUGCACGAAUGGUGUAACGAUCUGGGCACUGUCUCAGCCAUGAGCUCGGUGAAAUUGUAGUAUCGGUGAAGAUGCCGAUUACCCGCAGCGGGACGAAAAGACCCCGUGAACCUUCACUACAACUUUGUAUUGACAUUGGACAAGAGAUGUGUAGGAUAGGUGGGAGACUUUGAAGCGUUGUCGCUAGGCAGCGUGGAGUCAACCUUGAAAUACCACCCUUCGCUUGUUUGAUGCCUAACCCCGCAAGGGGGACAGUGCAUGGUGGGUAGUUUGACUGGGGUGGUCGCCUCCAAAAGAGUAACGGAGGCUUUCAAAGGUAUCCUCAGUACGCUUGGUAACCGUACGUAGAGUGCAAUGGCACAAGGAUGCUUGACUGUGAGACUAACAAGUCGAGCAGGUACGAAAGUAGGACAUAGUGAUCCGGUGGUUCCGCAUGGAAGGGCCAUCGCUCAAAGGAUAAAAGGUACUCCGGGGAUAACAGGCUGAUCUCCCCCAAGAGCUCACAUCGACGGGGGGGGUUUGGCACCUCGAUGUCGGCUCGUCACAUCCUGGGGCUGGAGAAGGUCCCAAGGGUUGGGCUGUUCGCCCAUUAAAGUGGCACGCGAGCUGGGUUCAGAACGUCGCGAGACAGUUCGGUCUCUAUCUGCUGUGGGCGUUGGAAAUUUGAGAGGAGCUGACUUUAGUACGAGAGGACCGAGUUGGACAGCCCUCUAGUGUACCUGUUGUUUCGCCAGAAGCAUUGCAGGGUAGCUACGGCUGGUUGGGAUAAGCACUGAAAGCAUAUAAGUGCGAAGCCCACCUCAAGAUGAGAUUUCCCUUAAGGGUCGUUCGAGAUGAGGACGUUGAUAGGCUUCAGGUGUAAAGGCAGUAAUGUCAUAGCCGAGAAGUACUAAUUACCCGUGGCUUUCUAAGA
rnacentral:rRNA from 1 species